rnacentral:rRNA from 1 species
GACAGCAGUCGCCGCGGUAAUACAGAGGGUGCGAGCGUUAAUCGGAUUUACUGGGCGUAAAGCGUGCGUAGGCGGCUUCUUAAGUCGGAUGUGAAAUCCCUGAGCUUAACUUAGGAAUUGCAUUCGAUACUGGGAAGCUAGAGUAUGGGAGAGGAUGGUAGAAUUCCAGGUGUAGCGGUGAAAUGCGUAGAGAUCUGGAGGAAUACCGAUGGCGAAGGCAGCCAUCUGGCCUAAUACUGACGCUGAGGUACGAAAGCAUGGGGAGCAAACAGGAUUAGAUACCCCAGUAGUCCCUGUCUCUUAUAC